CUAGCGCUCCCUGAUCCCUCCCACCUCCCCUCCCCUCGCCGCCACCCACCCCUCCCUCGCUCUCCUCCCUCCCCCCUCCCCUCCGGCAAGAUCCAGCGCGCUCCAAGAUCCCCAUGCUCUGCUCCUUCCUCCCUCCCCUCCCCUCUGGCAAGAUCCAGCGUGCGUCCUCCCUCUCCUCGAUCUAGAUCGGGGCACCUCGUCGCCCCGCCUUCGUCUCCCUCUGUCUCCCACCUGAUGGAGCCCGCGGUGGGGGGAAGCGAGGGGCCAAACACCCGCUUCCAACACACAAGGUCUCGGCUUCCCCUCCCAUCGCCGCACCACUCGUCCGCUAGCUCCCCACGCAGGCGGAUUUGGAUCGAGGCGGCCGUCGUCGGCGGCGGCAGCGGGCUGGGUACCAUGAGCGCUGUGCUCGCCAUCUGACACCAUCCUCCAGUGGUGGGGAUUCAACAUCGCCGUCAUCAACAAGCGGGUAUUCUAGAUCUUGCCACACUGGGCAUCAGGACCGCUGGAUGCUUCUCUCACGGUGGUCAAGCCAAGCUCUCCUACGGUGGUUAGAACGGGCGUCGUCAACCCUGCCGCCCCCUCUUCCGCCGGGUCUCCCAAGAGGUCGUGCAUCCUGCCGCGACCACCUCUACUACGUGACGGUGGUGGCCGACCUGCAAUGCGACCGCUGCAUCGCCAGUAACCUCUUCGCAAUGGCAACACAAGCAGGAACCUUGGCUACUCCUCGUUUAAGUCCCCAAGUGGUAGGGUUCUCUGUUCAUGGGAGUCACCAUCUAGGCAUGCUUGAUGCUUCACCAGAAUGCUGCAUUGUUCUUUAGCUGUCGAUUGUCUGUGUAGAUUGACUGUAUCGAGUUGAGGGCUUGAGGCAGGUUGUAGGUGAUUAGAACAACCACCUGUUAAGUAAGAUCAGUUGUACUGUAUGCUCUGAACAUAAGCUUGUGCUGCUGCCAGUGUAGUGUAUGCUCUGAACACAAGAUCCUUUACUUGCUCUGGUUUGGUUAAGACUGAUGAUGCCGUGGAUAAGAAAACAAUUUAAAAGGUCUGUUGAAACAAGGUGGAAGCAUGUUUUUUCUUGCAACGUACCCUAAACCCCUAAACCCUUUUUAUUUGAACUUGUUAGUUAUGUUCUGGAGUCUGGAAUUUUUGAAUCAAUAUCUAUCUGAUUAAUGCAUGCCUUGUUUUGUUUUUUAGUUUGUUGCAAAACAUAUAUCUGGUGUAUCUGAUUAGUUAUGUUGUAAAAGAAUGCUUGUCUCUGACACUGUUAUUCUUACGUUGAUAUAUGUGCCCAGGUUUGUGUGUUUUGAAUCAAUAUCUAUCCGAUUAAUUAAUGACCAUGGUGAGCUAGAUCCAAACAAACAAGACACUUACAUUAACUUGGCACUUUGAGUCCUUGUAAUUCUGAUAGUGUGGAACUAUAUUUUGUACACAUAGUCAACUAGUUUUCGUUUUAUAUUUGCUUGCUUAUGUGGAACUAUAUUUUCUCAUUUUUCUAAUUAUGACAUGGAUGAUAUGAAAUAUCAGAAUUGUUUCUGUUACAUGGUGUGCUGCAGGAAAGCCCCUGUGUAGGUUUAUUGUCUCGUAAUUGGGCAAUUAUUUUCUUGCAGGGGGCCACCCGUUCUAGCUCGCUUUGACCCUCUUUUGCUCUGUAGUGGUCUUGGUACAUGAAAAGCAGGUCCUUUUAAAUGUUUUGCUUCCUUGGUUGCAUUCUGCUGUACACUCAAAAAUAUUUUCAAUUUAGUGACAAGCAAACAAUAAAAUAGUCAAAAGGCUUUUAUUUAAUGUGCUUUUCGAAAAUGACAAUGUGUUGUGAUGUUCUCCUCUUUCUGUUGACAUGUAUGUUGAGUAAUAUCAAGCCAUAAUUAUAGUCACUCCAAGACAUGCUCAAAUGUAGUCGCACGUACAGAUUUGUGUGGCUGAGGUACAGUUUUAAGAUGAGAUACAUAUAUAUGGAACAUGAAAGUAUUACCGUUUGUUAGGACAUGAUGACUGUUUGUUUACUACUUUAUGAUUUUGUGUAGAGUUGUGUCCUUCUUGUCCCCUUUUACCCAAGGCCAUCUUGUUGUGUCAAUGGCUGUGUUGCCGUUUCAAGUUUUGUGUAUGUGCAUAUGUACAUAGCAGUAGACUAGACUGUUGUGAUCGUAUAUUACCUUCAUCCCUUCUUAGAUUUAUCUAGAUACGGAUGUAUCUAACACUAAAAUGUGUCUAUACAUCCGUAUCUAGACAAAUCUAAGACAAGAAUUUUGGGACGGAGGCAAUGUUUUCGUGUUGUUGAGUCGUUCUGGGGUAGCGACUCUUGACGAGUUGUGCCUGGCUGAUCGACUAGUCUCUACUAGUCGAGAGGUUGAGUCGACAUCUGGCAGUGCAGCUCGUCGACUAGUCGCGUGGAUGGAGGGAGUACUUGCUUUGCAGCCCGACAAGACAAUAUUGUUCCCUUCAUGAACGAGGACAUGGGCAUGUACCUCGACGAUGAGCUCAUCCACCACUACCACCUCGACUCCGCGUGCAAGGUGUUGUGUGUCCUGGAAGAUGGAAGAGGAAGAAAGCUUAUUUUUGUUGAACUAAAUUUCCUGUAUUUUGUUUUGUUGUAUGUAUCAUUUGAUAGUUUUGUAUAGGAACAAGUGAUACUAUUUUGAAGGGCUUUAUGGCCGGUGAUGUAAACAUAUUUAGUGCUGAAAUAUGAAAUUAUUUGCAAAAUUUCUUGAAAAGGAGGAUCAUUUGUAUGAAUAUGCGAAUGGGCUGAAAAGAGUA